AUAGCAUUCAUUAGAGUAUCUAAUAGCGUUCCACCAAAAUUACUCCACUUUACUUGGCGCCCUAUCCCACACCCCCUUGCUGAAAAUUUAAAAUUUUCCUCUGAAAAUAGAGGCGCAAUCUUCUUCUUCGUCAACGUUGAAACCCUAGAAACCGAUUCAGUUCUUUCGUUGUAUCAAAAAUGGCAAGUUUCGAUCAAGCUUCUCUUGGCGACGCCAAACAAGGUCUCUCUCUUUCUUUCUCUCUGAAAUUUGUCUCCCCCUUUCCCCCUUUCUCCCACUCUCCUCCUUCUCCUUUGUUUGUGUGUGGGUGUGUGUCAUGACAUAGGAAAAUGAGGAUGCAUGUAAGCACCACUAGUCUCCACCAUUUGCGAGCGAGAAGUUUCGAGAAAUCAAGCUCAAUUUCCGAGAACCCACGAGUAGCAACAACACAUGAUAGACACGACAACCUGGCAACUGGAUGGCUUCAUAUUUUACCGUUUUGGGAUUUGCAUUAUCUGAAAAGUGUUGAUACUGUAUGAGUAAGGUCUGCUUCAUUUUUAUCUCUUUAAUGGGUUUUAAAAUUUAGAACUCAUUUUGUUAGCUAUAUGAGCAAUGGGUGUUUAUUAUUGGGUGUUUAGUACUAGUUCAUGUUAAUCCUUUGAAAGGUAAAUUGCAUUCUUGUGUGUGCAACUUAACUCUGUGGACUUAGAGAAAACCGUGGUAGAAAAUGAU